GAUGAGCUCGCGUCAGAUUAGCUAGAUGGUGUGGUAAAGGCGCACCAUGGCGACGAUCUGUAGCUGGUCUGAGAGGAUGAGCAGCCACACUGGGACUGAGACACGGCCCAGACUCCUACGGGAGGCAGCAGUGGGGAAUUUUCCGCAAUGGGCGCAAGCCUGACGGAGCAAUACCGCGUGAGGGAGGAAGGCUCUUGGGUCGUAAACCUCUUUUCUCAGGGAAGAACAAAAUGACGGUACCUGAGGAAUCAGCAUCGGCUAACUCCGUGCCAGCAGCCGCGGUAAUACGGAGGAUGCAAGCGUUAUCCGGAAUGAUUGGGCGUAAAGCGUCCGUAGGUGGUUUUGUAAGUCCGUGGUUAAGGCGCGAAGCUUAACUUCGUAAGGGCCAUGGAAACUACAAGACUUGAGUAAAGUAGGGGUAGAGGGAAUUCCCAGUGUAGCGGUGAAAUGCGUAGA
rnacentral:rRNA from 1 species